AGCCCAACUCAAAGCUCUUUCACUUCUGUUUCUCAUACAACAAAUCUUACAAAGCGAAAGAGUAAAAGCUCCUCAUCCAAGAACAAAAAUCCUUUGAUCUUGACUCUGCAUCGUGUUCUGGAAAAGACAAACCCUAGAACUCAGGAAUCAUUAUACUCACUUUGCAGAUCUAUAUUCGAGGUCUUCUUUCUUUGAAGGAUUCUACAGUGAACAACAUAUUUCAAUGGGUCUGGUGGUGAUGAGAAUAAAGUUGAUAUUAUUAAUUCUAAGUUGUUGGAUUGUGGGUUUAUCCAUCAUGGGAGCUUGGCGUAAUUUCUUGACCCUGUUCUACAUAGGCUCUUCACAAAGUUGCUCAACAUCGUGAAAAUGCACGAAAAAACCGUCUGAGAAAGAAACAGAUAUUCUAUUGACAUCUUCAUGGUUCUUAAAAUCUGACCGCCGCUGUAAGCCUUACAGGUUUGUUCUUCGGUUUCAGUUACCAAAAUUAGUUACAAGUGAUUGCACCUUACAAAUCAAAUGCACAACAUGCCCAGUAGUGCUUUCUGAAAUGAUUAUUCUUUUCUAUCCGCUUGAAUUAAAGUGUGAUAUUAAUACAUUUGGGCCAUGAAAUUUGGAUACUCUUUAAUGGAAAUUUUAGAUAUGAAACUAAAGGAAAGCUUCUGUUCUUAACAUACCCACCGUUAAAAAAGAAUAACAGUCUAAUUAACUUUAUCACUUUUGUGAAUAUUAGAUUUUACAUUCCAUGAAAUUUGGAUACUCUUUAAUUGGAAUUUUAGGUAUUAAACUAAGGGCAGGCUUCGGUUCUUAACAUUCUCAUCGUUAAAAACAAUAACGGUCUAAUUAACUUUAUCACUUUUGUGUUAUCACUAAUAUUAGCUUUUACAUUAUCAACCAUCAAGGAUACUAAAUUUACAGUCAUAUUUCAAACUUAGAAAGAGAUAGUGGGUAUGAAGAAACAUUGACGAGAUGUUAGAUUGCAUCUAGAUUAUCCUUUUGGAAAACAAAACUUACUUCCAAUUGUUUAUCUUAAUUAAAUUUGAUAUAAAACUUGGUUUUAAAAAUCUAAGUUCUUUUCGUGGCACCUAACUAAUGCUUGAUGUGGAAACAACUAAAUAUCACCAUUGGUAUCCUUGUUUCUGUUGCACUGGUUAUGUUGACCUCUAUAGGAUUCAUUUUGGCGGUAAGAAAGAAGUGGUAAGUUUUUAGUAUUUAAAAGAUAUUAUCAUCUGCCCGACUUUUUUCUCCUAAAUUAUUCAAGUUUUGGCCAUAUAAUGUUUGUUAAUUUACUUUGAUAAGGUAUACGCUACAUUAUCAUGGGAUGGUUUUUGAAUUCUCUUUAGUCGAGCUGUUAAUGUUGGUUUGAUGUACGUCCACUGGUGCUGCUUUUCUCUAUUUUGUUGGUAUUGGUACAUGGUGGUUUGUGAGCCUGCUGGUGCUUAUUGUUUAAACACAUGUUGUGAUGUUUCUCGUAGUAAUGGGUUCAUCAGUAGGUAUUUGUUUCCUCAUGCUUUUCUCAAUCACUGCACUAAUAGCAACUGGUUUAUCAGUAGGAAGAACAAAAUUGUUGAGUUCUUUUGGUUAUUCAUUUUGGGGCCUCUCUGCAAUCUUACCUGCAAUACCUGUUACCGUUCUUACAUUAGGAUUCCAUGUAUAACCCAUUCUGUAUCUCGUGCUCGAGAUAUGUCAAGGUCGUGAAUUAAUGAACUAUUUGCUUGUGUGGUUGUGUCGAUGUAGGACAGAGGCAGGUAAAGAGAUUGACAUCAUAUUGGUUAGGAUACCCACCUUUAUAGAUCAUUGUCCUCUCAUGUACAUGGCAUGGUUAUUGUUUUUAUAACCAUUUUCUUGAGUAUUGUGACCUCCCCACAUUAAUCAGCUGAUGGCUUUUGCUGUGCAGGUACACCAUUAUGAAGUAGGAAUAAGUUUUUCAUCCUCAUCGGAGUUUAAAAUUUUGUUGUUCAAUCAAUAGUUUUUUAGUUCAUCAUUUUGUAAUCGAAUCCUGGAACUACAGAUUACACUGGUCAGAACUACAGAUUUUAAU